AGCGGCGGACGGGUUAGUAACGCGUGGGAAUGUACCCUUCUCUAUGGAAUAGCCUCGGGAAACUGAGAGUAAUACCAUAUACGCCCUUCGGGGGAAAGAUUUAUCGGAGAAGGAUCAGCCCGCGUAAGAUUAGAUAGUUGGUGGGGUAAUGGCCUACCAAGUCUACGAUCUUUAGCUGGUUUUAGAGGAUGAUCAGCAACACUGGGACUGAGACACGGCCCAGACUCCUACGGGAGGCAGCAGUGGGGAAUCUUAGACAAUGGGCGCAAGCCUGAUCUAGCCAUGCCGCGUGUGUGAUGAAGGCCUUAGGGUCGUAAAGCACUUUCGCCAGGGAUGAUAAUGACAGUACCUGGUAAAGAAACCCCGGCUAACUCCGUGCCAGCAGCCGCGGUAAUACGGAGGGGGUUAGCGUUGUUCGGAAUUACUGGGCGUAAAGCGCACGUAGGCGGAUCAGAAAGUUGGGGGUGAAAUCCCAGGGCUCAACCCUGGAACUGCCUCCAAAACUCCUGGUCUUGAGUUCGAGAGAGGUGAGUGGAAUUCCGAGUGUAGAGGUGAAAUUCGUAGAUAUUCGGAGGAACACCAGUGGCGAAGGCGGCUCACUGGCUCGAUACUGACGCUGAGGUGCGAAAGUGUGGGGAGCAAACAGGAUUAGAUACCCUGGUAGUCCACACCGA
rnacentral:rRNA from 1 species